AGCAUCUGUAAUGUUGUAAACAAGGUGAAAAAUUAAAGUGUAUACAGGUUUUGUUGGGAAAAUCCUUUUGCAAUCAGAGAUAUGAAAGGAUUAUUAACAUUUUAUGUCAUUCUACAGAGAAUAUGUAUUUUUUACUAUGGCUUUAAGAAAUGUGACUUUAGCAUUUUCCCCUAGUGUGACGGGAAUGAAAAUGAAGCAUUGAUAUGGUCUGUCAGUUGGGUAAUUGAAAAGGUUUAUCAGCUGGCCUACCACUGCCAUACUGCUUAGUAUGGGGGCUUCUCUGAAGAUGUUUCAAAUUAAACUAUCAGCAAGCAGUUAACUGGAACAGCAGCUGGUCCUGUAUCUACUGCUUUUCCUCAAGACUGACAUGUGUGGCCACCCACUUCGCAGCAUCCAAGGAGCUCAUGGAAAUCCUGGCCCUUAAAUUUUUUCAUCCUCAUUCUUUUCUCUCUUUCCUUUGGAUUUUAUUUUAUAUCAGUUCUUUGCUUUCCUGCAAUAUAAUUUAGAAGUAGUUAUCUACACAGUCUUAUAAAAUCUGUAUUAAAUAGCCU
rnacentral:lncRNA from 1 species